UGCCAGACUCCUACGGGAGGCAGCAGUGGGGAAUAUUGCACAAUGGGGGAAACCCUGAUGCAGCAACGCCGCGUGAGUGAGGAAGUAUUUCGGUAUGUAAAGCUCUAUCAGCAGGGAAUAGAAAAGAAGGUACCUGAAAAAGAAGCCCCGGCUAACUACGUGCCAGCAGCCGCGGUAAUACGUAGGGGGCAAGCGUUAUCCGGAUUUACUGGGUGUAAAGGGGGCGCAGACGGCGAUGCAAGCCAGGAGUGAAAGCCCGGGGGCCAACCCCGGGACUGCGCUUGGAACUGCGUGGCUGGAGUGCAGGAGGGGGAGGCGGAAUUCCUGGUGUAGCGGUGAAAUGCGUAGAUAUCAGGAGGAACACCGGUGGCGAAGGCGGCCUGCUGGACUGCAACUGACGUUGAGGCCCGAAAGCGUGGGGAGCAAACAGGAUUAGAUACCCGCGUAUA
rnacentral:rRNA from 1 species